GUCAGGAGCCCUAUCUUUUUUGAGCAGGCAGGGUGGUGAACAUGAAUUUUCCCAGCACUUUGCAGGUGGAGGCCAGAGAACCGGGAGUUCAAAGGCAAUCAAUCUAGUUAUGUAGUGAGCUUGAGGCCAGCUAGGCUGGUGGGAGUGGGAGUAGGGAGAUUUCUUGAUAAGACCCUAUCAUUCUUUGACCCCCGAACAGACUGUUUUAAACUUCUCCUACAAAGUGGAGAAUUAUAUUCUGAGUCUUGGCUCAACGAAACAAUGGUAAAUUAUUGAGAAAUACCAGGGGGAUCAAAUCCAAUUGAAAGUAUGAAUACGGUCCUAUUUGUCAUUCCCUGGGGUUGCAGUGGGAAGGGACAAGGGCUGAGCUGUGAGGCUGCUGGCUGCUUUCCCUUUAAACUGUUUAUACAACACUUAAGUGCUCACGUCUCAGAAAGCAGGUUCUAACUGGACAUGAAGCUAGGCGAGGCACCAGGCCCUGCUCCUUGAGCAUAUUCAGAUGUCUCCUGCCCUAGAAGGCAGUGUGAUCAUCUUUUUGUAGGGGGUCAUAGGGGCUCUGGUUCUGCUUCUCAGCCUAGGAUUUUGCUAAAAGGGGUCAAGGGAAACCCCAGGUGCCCUACAGCAGAGACCUCAGGCUGUGGGGAAGGCUCUGCUUGUAAAAGCACGUUCCGUUCACUGGGUCCUUCAUGUAGGGCUCCUAAUGGUUUCCCCAUGCAUUCAUAUGUGUAUGUAUGCAUGUAUGUAUGUCUUGUACUGAAACAGGGUCUCAUUUAUCCCAGGCUGGCCUUGAAUUCACUGACGUAACCAUGAAUGACCUUGAAGUUCUGUUUCUAUUGCCUCUUUAUCCUGCGUCUCAUGACUCCUGACCUCCUGUAUGUAGCACUAACUAUGAAACACAGGGCUUGCGUGUCUGGAGGAACUCUAUCAGCCGUGUCCCAUCCAUAGUCAUCCCCCCACCCCCACCUCACUCACUGUCAAAUUAUUUUUACCCUAGUCCAGAAACCAGAAUAGGAAUUUGUACAUUUAUUGACAACCUUCCCGAAGCAUAAAAUAUUUAACAGCUUCAGAUCAUACAACUGGGAAACACACCCACCUUUCAAACUACUACACUAGCUUCCCUCGGGCCACACUGCUGCCUGAACUUCCCGCUGGGCUGCCUGGGAGGACAUCAGGGAAGUAAGUAGUCACCCUUUGCUCUCUAGAUAUCUAAGGGCCAAGGUGACCGACUGGUCCUGCCUGGCAGAAUCACCCAGGGCUGUGGCAGGAAGGUCUAGGCAGCUCACUAGGCCACAAGGGUACUUUAAGGUCAUCUAGUCAGCCGCCCUUUCCUGGCACCUCCUUAAUCUUGUAUGGCUCUCGUGUGUGUGCAGGGACAAGCCCCGCCUCUGGUGCAAAUGCUUGCGACAUAAGGCUAUGUCCAAGCCCAUCUGAAGGUUCCUUAUCCCCCAGCGCUGUAGUCACAGAAGACACAGAUGCUUCAAAGCUCUUCACAGCUCAGACCUGUCUAGACUUAUCAAGUCAGAGGGACAUGUGGCUCUGCGUCACUAGGUCCUCCACAGAGGACAUUAUUCAUUCAGUGGUGGUAACUCAGAGGUCAGAGUCUCAGACCCAGUCUUGGGCCCUCCCUGAUGAAUCUGCGAGCCCGGACGUCUCCCUGGUCUCAGGGCGUGGCUCUGCAGCUAGUCUCUGGCUUCUGGGUUUUUCCACUCUACCAGGCCUCUUACUGCAGCUCUUGCUUGGGGGUAGGUGUGGCAAUUGGGCAUUGAGGAUUUGCUCUGCCAGGAGGCCACACCCCAGCUAUUAAGGUUGCUGGCCUAGAGGCCACCUCCCCAGGUCCCUUAGCCCCAAGCUGAGCUGGCUCUCCAGCACCCAAGACCCUCCUCCCCUCUUCUUAAAGAGGCUGCUUGUCAAGUGCAGAUGGGCCUGAGCUCUGCCAGCAUCUCCAUGACAACCAGAGCUCACAGCUUCCUUCCUGGAUCAAGUGCUUGCACACUCAUAGGGCUUCCUUGUAGACCCGGAGAUUGGCUGUGGCCCCAAGUCCCAGACUCACACACCUUACCAUCACGUGCUUUCAGUAUUUAAGGGGGCUACUCAACAGGUUGCCCUGAAGACCUCAGACCCUGCAGGACUUGUUUGAGGAAGAUCUGAAAUGAGGAAGUUGUUUGCAGAGACAGGAGCUGACACGAGAACAAAUGGGGCAUGACUCCGGAAAGAGCGCGGGUGCGUGUCACCAAUAUUCGUGUCAUACUUAGGCUCUUCAGUGACUCUGCAGUGACCAAGACAGUAGCAGUAAAGACACCGAGAGAAGCAGCUCUCGAAUGGCUUUAGUGGUUGAUUUUAUACAUGCAGUGUUCUGCCUGUGUGUGCUGUGGCCCUUGGUGGAAGGCGUCUGUCUAUUGGAGCUGGAGAUACAAUGACUGCAAGCCACAUGGGCGCUGGGAACCAAACUCAGGCUCUUCGAGAACAACCACUCUCAGCUGCUGAGCCAUCUCUCCAGGACCAGCUUUAAGGCAAUUUCCUUGUUUUUUCAAGACAAGUUUUCUCUGUGUAGCUCUGGCUGCCCUGGAACUUGCCCUGUACACCAGGUUGGCCUGGAAUUCACAGAGAUCCACCCACUUCUGCCUCCCAAGUAGAGGGAUUACAGGUAUUUGGCACCAUUAACCUGGCAUUUUAAGGCAAAAUUUUAAAUGAAUUCUAGGGUUUUUUUUUUUCGGAGCUGGGGACCGAACCCAGGGCCUUGCGCUUCCUAGGCAAGCGCUCUACCACUGAGCUAAAUCCCCAACCCCUUAAAUGAAUUCUAACUAAAGAACAUUUACAAUUGUGGAAAACAGACUCUCUUUAGCAAUUCAGUGUUAAAUGUUCUUUGCAGUGUUAAACUGCAAUCUGAGUGAUUCUGACCUACCUGGGUCCACUCUGCCUCCUUCCUAAGGGAUCAAACCCAGUAUCUGGCACAUGGCUUGCCUAGCAAUUGAGCUAACAAAGUUUCUCUUCCUUUCCCACCCACUUUUGUGGUGCAGGGAAUCAAAUUGGGUCUUCAUACCUACUACUCAGGGCUGUAGGUAUGGUCAGCCUUUUUUGUUUUUAUUUAGUCUCCAAUAUGUGUAGUUCAGUUUUUUUUUCAGGAGUUUUUUCUUUUUCUUUUUAAUAAAAAAUUUUAUUUAUUUUAUAUAUCUGAGUACACUAUUGCUUUCUUUACACCAGAAGAGGGCACCAGAUCCCACUGCAAAUGAUUGUGAGCCACCACGUGGUUGCUGGAAUUGAACUCAGGGCCUCUGGAAGAACAGUCAGUGCUUUUAACAGCUGAGUCAUCUCUCCAGCCCAUUUUUCAUUUUUUUAUUUUUAUUUUUUAAAAAAGAUAGGGGGGUUGGGGAUUUAGCUCAGUGGUAGAGCGCUUGCCUAGGAAGCGCAAGGCCCUGGGUUCGGUCCCCAGCUCCGGAAAAAAAAAAAAAAAAAAAAAAAAAAGAUAGGGUCUCACUUCAUAACUCUGGACACCUUGAACUUCCUUUUUAGACCAGGCUAUCUUCAAAUUCUGGAAUCUGUUCUGGAAUUAAAAAGGCUUUGUCACCAUUGCCAGCUGUGCAUUCCGCCUGGUUGUUUCCAGGAUUCUCUAGCGUGCUGCCUGUAAGGUCCUAUGACCACUGUUUUUAUUACAUAAUUUUUAUACAGGAUCUCACUGUGAAGCUCUGGUUGGCCUGGGGCUUACUGCCUGCCUCAGUCUCCCAAGUGCUGAGAUUAAAGGUGUUCAGUGCCCCACCUGACCCCUGGGCCCAUAAUUUAAUCUUUUCUCCUUUCUUUUUUGCUGCUGAGUGAGUCUUGGACUUCAAGCAUACUAAACAGAUGCUCUGCCCCAAGCUUCUCCGUCUGUCCUGUCUUUCCCUUAAUGUUUGCUCAGAGAGCAAUUUAUAUAGGGAAGCUAGUAUUACUAGUGAUGCUACAAAUACUUUGUUAAUUGCGUCUUAAUAGGCAACAGGAGUUUUAAAUUUUAAGCAUUUGAUGCUAGAGCUCAGGAUGUAAUUUAGUGGUAAGCACUUGUCUGUAUCUCUGGGGCUAACCAUAGGAAUACAAAAAGAGGAAAAAAAAUCCACUGCUAUUUGAUGUCAGUUUUUAUAUUUUAUUGUUAUUUGUGAGUUUGAUCAAUAACAAAUGUAUCAAAUAAACAGCAAGCUGAGUCUGUUUUCGGUCUAGAGGUAGAGUGUUCUAAACUGUAUGCUCAGAGUUAUGCAACUGCCAUGGCUCAGUUUCCUAAUCUACGAAAUGGGUCCUAUGAUCAAUACUUCUCCAUAAAGAACAGGGAGGUUUAAAUGGUGUAUGAAUGCCUAACAGUCACACUAAGCUGGCACAUGGUGAUGCAUGCUUGUUUCUCAGUCAUCACCACAGUAGCUGGUUGUAUUUAGAAUCAGUUCUCACCUUUUCUUCUAGGAAUGGUGUAUUAACAGGAAAGCAAGACCAGAAAUGCCGCAGAAGCUCCCCAACAGCCACAUACAAGUGUUUCAAUUCAGACUGAAUAUCGUUUGGCACCAUCUCUGCAAACAGAAGAAGAGAGCCCUAAGGCAACAGCUAAUCCCACAGUCCAAAAAUGCCCACUCUAGGUGCUGAAUGCAAAGCUCAGAGUGCAGUGCACGCACAGCUUGAAGGAGGUCCAGGUUACCUCCCCUGCCCCUAAACCCAUCCUCACACGCCCACAAACUUUCAGCAGAACAUCCCAACCCACUAAAGAAGAACGAACACAGCGCUGCUGAGCUGUCUCUCAUGCUAAGCCCGGCAACCUGAGCUCAGGGAUCACAGAGGAGAGAACUGACCUCUGUAAGUUGCUUUCUGACCUCACGUGCUAUGACCUCCACAUGUGCCAGGGCACUGCCAACUUCCUCACCCCCCAUAAAGAAAUUUAGUAAUUAGAAGACAAGCCAGCACAGCCUUAGCACUAACUGAAGCAAAGAGGAAAAGGGAGGUGGCCCACCACGUACGGUUUACUGCUUGCUGUGUCCCUCCCUGCAUAAGUGCUCCUCCAGGUGACAGGGCUGUGAUGGUGCUACUAGCAGCGCUGCUUGAGAGAACCUGAAAGAAACGAGUCAGGAACUGACUUAGUCCCCCUUUGCAUCUGCCUUAAUACUUGUUUUACUCCUAUGCAAAUACACUAUAUACAGCAACCAGAAUCAACAACUUUUCUUGAGGCUAGAAAUAGUCCAUGUAGAAAACUCCUCUGGGGGCUGGAGCAAGCACUGACUGCUCUUCUGAGGUCCUGAGUUUUCAAUUCCCAGCAACCACAUGGUGGCUCACAACCAUCUGUAAUAGGAUCUGAUGCCCUCUUCUGGUGUGUCUGAAGACAGCUACAUAUGAGUAUAUGAAUAAAAUAAGUCUUUUUUUUUUUCCGGAGCUGGGGAUCGAACCCAGGGCCUUGCGCUUGCUAGGCAAGCGCUCUACCACUGAGCUAAAUCCCCAACCCCAAAAUAAGUCUUAAAAAAAAAGAAAGAAAGAAAACUCCUCUGCUAGGAAUAUAGUAGACUCCAUGACAGAGAUCGGACUCUUUGGAGCUGAGUUAAAAGUGGCUGUGAGCUACCUCUGUGGGUUCUAGAAGCCAAAUGUGAAUCUUUUGAAACAAGAACAGCACACACUAUUAGUUUCUGAACCACUUAACCUCUCUGCCUCCUAUAACUUUGAUUUCUGAGGCUUUAGUUAACUAUACUAAGAUACUUCAGUUUGCCAAGCUUGACAACCUAAAGUCAACCUCUGGAACCCAUAUACUAGACAAAACCAAGUUGUCCUGUAUGCUUCGAGUUCUACAAUGCUUUGGCUAUCAGUUUCCUAAUCUUUGGGUCUGAGUUUCACACAAUUACUUACCUAUGGCUCCUACUCCACUAUAUAUUUUCCUGAAAAUGGCUCACAAAACCCAAUAUAAAAAGCAACGAAAUGUUCAGUUGUACAGUUCAACUGGCUAUGUUUACAACCUGAAGUAGUAGCUAUAAGAAUUCUGGCCUUAAAACAGUGGAUCACCUACCUGAGUUAACUUGGGUGUAUAAGCUUCCAUUUCUUGUCUAAUACUUUGAAAAGAAUUAAUAAUGUCCUGACUUGUUGCAUACUGUAGUGACUGAAUUGGAGUAGGACCAUGAUAAUACCUGGAGAUUAGCACAGAAGUAACAAAUUAUAAAGGGCUCAAUAUCUGUCUUACAAAUAUUUAGCAACAACAAAACAUUCCCUCACAGCAAAAGUGAUACUACACUUAAGGGAAUGUAAAGCUAUUUAGUUUCCUGUUUAUGUGAGUACACUGUCACUGUCCUCAGACACACCAGAACAGGGCAUCGGAUCCCAGUACAGGUGGUUGUGAGGUGCUAGGAAUUGAACCCAGGUCUUCUGUCAGAGUAGUCAGUGCUCUUAAGCACUGAGCUAUCUCUCCAGCCCGUUUUAUUUUCAUUAUUAUUAGUUGUUAUGUGGUAGUAGGCAGGUAUGGGCAUGUGGGGGCAGAUGCUUGUAGAACCUAAAUAUUGGAUCCCUGGAGGUGGCUUCCUAGAUAGCUGUAAGCCACUUUUGGGUGUUUGAAAUCAAAGUAGGGUCCUCUGCAAGAUCACCAUGAGUUCUUUGCCACUGAGCCAUCUCUCCAGCUCUUGUAAUUUAAUUUCCUUUUCUUAAUUUAUUUUAUAUAAGUACACUGUAGCUGUCUUCAGACACACCACAGCUACAGUAUAUUCAUAUAAAUAAAAAUGAAUAAAAAAAAAAAGCAUGAAAAUCCAAACUCUGAGGACCUACUGCUACACCAGAUGACCUAAGCUGGGUUCCAAGUGGACGGAGGGAACUGAUCCCAAGCUGACCCUGACUUCCAUACUUGCUGUGACACAUGCAUAUAAACCACGUAAUAAAAAUUAGUUCUCUUGGGCUAGAGAGAUGGCUCAGUGGUUAAGAGCACUGACUGCUCUUCCAGAGAUCCUGAGUUCAAUUCCCAGCAACUACACGGUGGCUCACAACCAUCUGUAAUGGGAUCUGAUGCCCCCUUCUGGUGUGUCUGAAGACAGUGUACUCACAUACAUAAAAUAAUCUUAAAAAAAAAAAUUGUUUUCUUGUCUUUAGUCAUGUAGGAUACAUUCCAGGCAUGUAUAAAAGUUAAAAAAAAAAGAUUUAUUUUAUGAACGUUUUGCCUGUAUAUAUAUAUAUAUCUGUAUCACUUACAUGCCUCGUGUCAGGAGGGAGUUGGAUUCCCUGGAAUUGGAGUUCUGAAUGAGUCUUAUUAGCUCAGGCUACCCUUUAAUUUGCUGUACAACUGAGGAUAUCCUUGAACUACUGCUCCUCCUCCUAAAGUCACAGUUGCACACAAUUAUACCAAGUUCGUAAAGCAAACUUUUAAGGAAAUUUGUGUAUUGCACGUUUACGGCAACAAACUGACUGUAGCCUUGCAGAGGUACACACACUCUGCACUGACUGCUGCGUAAGAAUUUCGCUUCAGUCAGCCAAACUCACCUGUCUGACUUCUUGAGAUUCAGUGCAAUCGUUUUCACAGAAUUGUUGUUUCCCAAGUCUUCAUAUUCAAUGGAUUCCUGUAACUUUGCCUGCAAUUAAUGACAUGCAAGGUAUUUUUGUUGGAAACUGACUGAAAUUUCAGAGCAUAAAAAAUAAAGCCCGUCUACUGUGGCUAAGCCAGCGUUCUCACCAAUAACCAACACGAAUACUGGUUCCUACACUGUGGUUAUGUGAUUAUAUAUAAAAACCUUUUUUUUUUUAAUUUUUUUUUUUUUUUUUGAGACAAAGUUUCUCUGUGUAGCCCUGACUGUCCUGGAUUACUCUGUAGACCAGGCUGCUUUUGAACUCAGAGAUUCACCUGCCUCUGCCUCCUGAAGGCAUAGGCCACCAUACUUGGACUUUUUUAUUUUAAAGCAUGAGUGAUAUGUAGUUUAUGAGACAAAGACCUUUGAUCCUUCUGCCUGCUGAAGGCUAGGAUUAUGGGUAUACACUACCGUAUCUGAUGGUGUGAGCUCUUUUUGAAGGAAUGUAGACAUCCUCUAUUUUAAAUUGGUCAUACAUAUCCUGCUAUUACAAGCUGAAAAUACUGUACAUUGAAAUGCGUUUUAAGUCCGAUAACGCUAUCAUAAACAUAAGUAAUUGUAAGAUGGGGCACAUCUGUAUGUCACAGUGUUUUGUAAUUUAUUGUUUGGUGCGGGGAACUGAACCCAGCACCUGUGACUCUUCAGUAAGCUAUUUCCACUAAGCUAUACUAUCUCAUCUAAAUCUUUGCAUACCACGCCCUCCUUUCCUUAAAUGUGUAGAAAUGGAAGAGUGUAAACCUCUAAACUUUACAUAUGUACUGCCUGUCAGGUGUCUAAGUGUAUUCUUCCUACAAAUGGGGAAGAGAGACUUAGAAAAAAAUGAAGUUCAGCAAGCAGCUACUUCUAUCUACACUUCCUCAAAUGACUUUUUAGAGAGAUGUUUUCAUCUACAAAAUACCAGUUAAGAAAAUAUAGAAUCGGGCUGGAGAGAUGGCUCAGCGGUUAAGAGCACCCGACUGCUCUUCCAGAGGUCAUGAGUUCAAUUCCCAGCAACCACAUGGUGGCUCACAACCAUCUGUAAAGAGAUCUGAUGCCCUCUUCUGGUGUAUCUGAAGACAGCUACAGUGUACUUAUAUAUAAUAAAUAAAUAAAUCUUUAAAAAAAAAAAAAAAAGAAAA